AUGAACGCUAGCGACAGGCCUAACACAUGCAAGUCAGGGGCAGCACAAGGAGCAAUCUGAGGUGGCGACCGGCGCACGGGUGAGUAACACGUAUGCAACCUGCCUGUAAGCGGGGAAUAACCCGUUGAAAGACGGACUAAUACCGCAUAAUACUAAAUUACUGCAUGGUAAUUUAUUUAAACAUUUAUGGCUUACAGAUGGGCAUGCGCAUGAUUAGCUAGUUGGAGAGGUAACGGCUCCCCAAGGCAACGAUCAUUAGGGGUUCUGAGAGGAAGGUCCCCCCACACUGGUACUGAGACACGGACCAGACUCCUACGGGAGGCAGCAGUGAGGAAUAUUGGUCAAUGGACGAGAGUCUGAACCAGCCAAGUCGCGUGCAGGAAGAAUGUCCCUAUGGAUUGUAAACUGCUUUUGCAGGGGAAUAAAGUGCAUCACGUGUGAUGUUUUGUAUGUACUCUGCGAAUAAGGAUCGGCUAACUCCGUGCCAGCCGCUGC
rnacentral:rRNA from 1 species